rnacentral:misc_RNA from 1 species
UUUUUUGGAACAUGUCUAAUUAUUUCAAGUGAGACAUGGCCACCGGUUCUCUAGCGUCCACGACUCUAUUACACUAUACCAAAGUAGAGGCUUCCUCUCUGUUGCAGACAAAUGAGGCACUGAGACAAAUGUCUUGUAGAGAAAUCAUGAUUGAAGAUGCGUAGGAUGCUAUUUGAUUCCUCCAUUUCCUGCAUUGUUUCACUAAACAUGGAUACGAUGCCAUUUCAGGGCACAUUUCAUGCCUGGCUUUUGCAAGAAAUCUUGGUCGUUGAGAGGAUGCUGUAUAGCGGUUGCAAUGCCUUUUUCCAAGUGAUUUUCUUGAUCUGCUUCAUUUUCUAACAAACUGUGAGCCAAUAUCUGAAGAGUCAGAAUAGUUGAUCCCACAAGUUUUCUCCGCUGGUUUAGUCAGCUCCAGAGCCACAGGUGAAGAGCCCCAACAAAAAAAUUUACUGAAUUAGGAACAAACGCUUGCUUAAGUGCUUAGCUAGUGGGAUGAUAACACUUAUAUUAACCUAAUAACCAUAACAUUAGUCUUGUAUAUACAAAACCGAACUAAGAUUAAGAAUUACCAUCUUUUGGCCAAAAUAACUACAAGGAUCAAUCACAAAAAAGGCAUCAGUUACCAUGGUGCAGCAGCUAGACUUUCAAAAUCUUGCCUGGAUUUCACAAUGUCUUCACUGAUAGCAUUAGCAUCUUCUUGUAAAGCAAUAAUCUCAGAAUCUUUCAUCACCUUCAUUGCCACUUUCAUUGCCCGUUGCUCUUCUAUCUCCCUUAACUUCUUGUCAAUUGCAUCAAUAUCUUCUUUCACUUUGGCUUUUUCGUGAUCACACUCUGCAAUCUGAAUGUCAACAUUUUUUGACUGAUCCUGAAGCUGUUCUUGCCUAUCUUUGAUAGACAGUAACUUGUUAAGACGGUCCACAACAGCCUUAACAUCAAAUCCAAGCAUUUCCAGAUCAGCGAGAGUUUCCAAAUAGCUAUAAAAAAGCAUUCUAGGAUCAUCAACGUGCAACUUGGAUGUCUUAUCUACCACAGUGGCGAAGGUCAACAUAUGACCAAUAGCAGAUCCCUCCCGACUUGCCUCUUUACAAUCAAUCAAAGGACUAAAAUGUGGAUUUUGUGGUAGAGAUUGGAAAGCUUCCAGAGACUCAACAUUUUUCCAAAUAGGUGAGCUCUUCACAAAAGGAGUUGUUUGAAUCUUCACUAGGUCACUGUCUACUAUAACAUUUAUUGCAGAAGAUUGUGUGAAUUCGUCAGCUUGUCUUUCUUCUUUACCUUCAGGCUCAAAGCCUAUUACUGUACACAAUUCUGCCUCUUCAGCUGUACAAUGUUUAAAAUUCAUUUCAUUAGCACCAUCUCCAGCUACAUUGUGCAGUUCACCUGCUUUCUGCUGCUGAAUUGCAUCACUUUCUUUCUGUAGAUUAAUCUCCUCAUCAAGAAGCUGGUAAGAAUUUUCUGGAUAUGAGCCCUUUCUCCCCUCAGCUAAGGCACCAGAAGAUUCAGCAUCUUUUUCUAUAUGGUCAACUUCAACAAUAACUUCAGAAGAAUCUCCUUUUGUCAUGUCCUCUCUGCCUGCUGCUGUAUCCCACUGGCUUGUAACUUGAGAAUUCAGUUCCCCUUUUAUCACAGAACUUUUCAUUUCACUAUUUAGUCCAGCUUCUUGUUGAUUAGGCUCAAUGUUCUCUCCCCUGAAUGGACCUUCAGACCCAGCAUUGUCAACCAAUUGUUGGGUUGAGCAUUUAGUUAGUGCGCUGUCUGUGACUUGCACUUCUUGAUUUGUUGUCUUGAUUGGUAUCAACUUUGCAGGACAUGCUUGUGGAGACAAAGGGUUUGCAGACUUUCCCCUUUUGAACUUCUUGGAAGGGCAUGAUAGUUCAUCCUCAAUCUUAGGUGCUCUCUUAUUCACUUUCUUACUUGUUGAUUUUGCUUCACAAGGGGUUGAAUGCUCUAAUAAGUUCUUCCUUGAAUUUUCGCAUGAGGAUUUUCCUUCUGAGUGAUCCCAUUCUGCAGUUGAACUCUCAAUAUGAAUAGCCACCUCAGGGCUUUUGGCAUUGUUGUCAACAUGGGUUGAAUGUUCUUUGCAUUGUAUACCAAUUGAUACAUCCCUGGAAUAACUAACCCAUGAGCCAUUCAUCAAGUGCAGGUGUGGCCUUAUUUCCGAUUGGCUGAAUUGCUUCUCCACAUUUGCGUGUUUUAGAAAGAUGUUAUACCUUCCAUCUGUAAGAAUUUUGGUGAUGAAGCCAUCCCUCCAACUUGAAUCAUAGAAAGCAUCUACUGUUUCCAAUAUCUCAAAAUUUUUAACCUCCAAGUUAGGAGGGGGAGACCGAAUAUGGAAGGAAUCAACAAUUUCUCUCAUAAGGCCAUUCUCAUCAUUGUUUCUUGAGCUGCCACACUCCACCAAGAAAGAAUUGAAGCCAACUUCCUCAAUAACAAUUGCUGGGAACCAAGCAUCUUGAAAAUUUUCCUUGUUGAGGCUCACUUCCACAGCCAUUCCUUUUCCAAACUUUAACCCUUCCAUUCUCUUCUGUUUUGGGGGUCGAACCCAGUUGCCAUCAGUCCAAACCCAGUGAAACCUCAAAUCUGCAGAGCAAAAGUCGAACUGUUCAGGUGGGUUUUCAAAGAUCACAGUGUACCUCUUGGAAUUGUCCUUCUCCAAAACUUGAACUUUAACGACAACAGCCUUCCACCACCCAUCACGGUGGAAGGCGUCAACGACGUCGUGCGGUUCAAAAGACUGAUCAAUGUCGGGAGGCGGAGGCAGAGGCCUAAUAUGAGAAGCAUCGACGAACUCGGUCAAUCGCUCGUUCUCGUCAUUGUCGGUAAUUAAUUCAUGAUACUGAACCAAUACCUUGAAUUUUCGCUUGGCGAAGGUUUUCCUGGAAGAAAAGGGUGACUUGAGGAUUGUGGCCACGUACCAUGCGCCUUUGAACCCUUCGUCGUCGCUGCUCACCUCCACUUGCGAACCCACGCUUAAAAAAUGGGUCUUUCUCUCUAUGUUUACGUCUUUGCGCUUGCCAGCCAUGGCUCUGAGCUGUGCCUUGGGACUAUUCUUUCGGGUGUGUUUGGAAAGAAAGAAACAUGCACAGAGG